GUGGGGAAUAUUGGGCAAUGGGCGAAAGCCUGACCCAGCGACGCCGUGUGGGCGAUGAAGGCCUUCGGGUUGUAAAGCCCUGUGAGGUGGGAAGAAGGGCCCAGAGGUUAAUACCCUUUGGGCUUUGACGGUACCACCAGAGGAAGCACCGGCUAACUCCGUGCCAGCAGCCGCGGUAAUACGGAGGGUGCAAGCGUUGUUCGGAAUUACUGGGCGUAAAGGGCGCGUAGGUGGUUGUGUAAGUCAGAUGUGAAAUCCUUAGGCUUAACCUGAGAACUGCAUCUGAUACUGCAUGACUCGAGUACAGCAGAGGGAAACGGAAUUCCUGGUGUAGAGGUGAAAUUCGUAGAUAUCAGGAGGAACACCGGUGGCGAAGGCGGUUUCCUGGGCUGAUACUGACACUGAGGCGCGAAAGCGUGGGGAGCAAACAGGAUUAGAUACCCCAGUAGUCC
rnacentral:rRNA from 1 species